ACAGUAGACAAUUAAUGAGAUGCAAGACACCCAAUAAUAUAAUAAAAUACAUAUAAUAAGUUGGGCUUUGUUAAGUUACAACAAGAGUAACUUACAAAAACAUGCAAAAAUUUGUAACAUAACAGUGGUGUCUGCAUGCAAAAACUAAUAAUAAGUUUCAUGCUCUUUUAUUUAUUUAUUUAUUUGUUUCAAAUUUGUGUUUGAAAAACGUGUGUGUUUUUUUUUUUUUUUUGGCUAUGCAAUAAUCAUAUGUCCGAAACUAUAAUCUUUUAGGUGGCUUGCUCUUUAAUAUUAUUCGGAACAAAGUAGAACAGAAUUUUACGUUUGAAUAAUGUUUGAUGAUUUGUAAACCACUAGAAUUCAUCGUGUGUCGUGUCAACGCAGUGUAGUUAGCUAUACAUAUCUACUAACAUUAUAUUUGCAAGUCUGCUUUAAAAAUAAAUUAAUAUGAUGACAUAAAUUUGUUACUACUACCCACUCAAGACUAGUUUCUCUCUUUUUUUAUUUCUAUUUUUUUAAAAAAAAUUUAAACUCGGUCCACAAAUACUCUCGUGCUCGUUCUUAUAUAUGAUCAAGAGCGUGGAUAGAGUGGCAAAACUUAGUUGGUUUGAACUACAAACUUGGGCUUGGGUGCUUGUUAGUCGUGUACGAACGUGGAUGAUGAGACAACCAUUUUAAUUUGGUGACGGAGAAAAUUUUUUGGUCGGAUGCUGGGAUUAGUUGCUAAAUAAAAUUUUAAUGGUUUCAACUAAAAAUCUCACACGGGGUUCACUUUGCUCUCAACCAAUCAACUUUGAAUAUAAAAUCUCACGCACCGAAUAACUCAGCUUCAAUGGCUCAGAUCUGACCAAGUUAUGCUGAUUAUUGCAUCUUAACCGUACGAACUUAAUAAUAAUAAUAAUAAUAGGUUAUUAAUUUCCAAGUUUUGUCCCUGCAGUAACACUACAGCGUGUGUGCAUUUUCACUAGGGAUGACAAUGGGGAGGGAAGGAGAUCAAUUUCUUCGUAUUUAUUCUCGAUAUUUUGCGUAUGUCCCCGUUAUUUUUCCAUUUCCGUCAAAAUUAUUUAAGAGAAUACUCAUCCCCUCCCCGAAUAAUAACAGGGGAUUCCCGAAGGUUCCAGAUCCUCG
rnacentral:lncRNA from 1 species